CCUACGGGUGGCAGCAGUGAGGAAUAUUGGUCAAUGGGCGCUAGCCUGAACCAGCCAAGUAGCGUGAAGGAUGACGGCUCUAUGGGUUGUAAACUUCUUUUAUAUGGGAGUAAAGUGCAGUAUGUAUACUGCUUUGCAUGUACUAUCUGAAUAAGGAUCGGCUAACUCCUUGCCAGCAGCCGCGGUAAUACGGAGGUUCCGAGCGUUAUCCGGAUUUAUUGGGUUUAAAGGGAGCGUAGGUGGAUUGUUAAGUCAGUUGUGAAAGUUUGCGGCUCAACCGUAAGAUUGCAGUUGAUACUGGCAUUCUUGAGUGCAGUAGAGGUAGGCGGAAUUCGGGGUGUAGCGGUGAAAUGCGUAGAUAUCCCGAAGAACUCCGAUUGCGAAGGCAGCCAACUGGACUGUAACUGACGCUGAGGCUCGAAAGUGUGGGUAUCAAACAGGAUUAGAUACCCCGGUAGUC
rnacentral:rRNA from 1 species